rnacentral:rRNA from 1 species
UACGUAGGGGGCGAGCGUUGUCCGGAGUUAUUGGGCGUAAAGCGCGUGCAGGCGGCCUGGUAGGUGCGGUGUGAAAGCUCCCGGCUCAACUGGGAGAGUGCGCUGCAGACCGCCGGGCUCGAGGGCUGGAGAGGAAGAUGGAAUUCCCGGUGUAGCGGUGGAAUGCGUAGAGAUCGGGAGGAACACCAGUGGCGAAAGCGGUCUUCUGGACAGCCCCUGACGCUCAAGCGCGAAAGCGAGGGGAGCGAACGGG